UUCAGGUUAAGAAUGGACCUCCGGAACGAAUUAAGUUCUUAACCCGAGGUACCACUGUGGCUGUUGCUGGGUGGGCGCCUGUAUUUUCAGCCCUGCGUGUGGCGUGAUCUCUCUCCUGCCUUAAAGCAAGGGUCUCCCAACCAGGGUUGGAUUUAGGUUUGAUGAGGCCCUAAGCUACUGAAGGUGUUUACAAAACGAAGGAGGUCAGUGAUGGCAAAUGAAGGCACUCCUGUCCGACUAGGAGCCGUUAGUGUCCCUUAUGGGCAUGUGAUUGGCCAUGAAAAAUGGAAAGGCUCUCUGGUUGCUCAGGGGAUACAAGGGAAAGUUAAACUAAUUCUAGAAGAUGGCCUGGGAGUCGUAGACUUCCAUCUUUCAAACAGAUCCUGUGUCCUUUAUAUUUCUGAAGCAGACCUGGUUGCAGGAAAUGGCUUCAAAAGGAGACUUGUUCGCUUUAGAAACGUAAGUGUUGCCUGAAAUAGCUGGUGUUCGCCUGACUCCCCAUUUAUAGAACUUCCAUCAGCAAGAAUGUCAGGGCAAUUUUAACACAGUUCAAGGAUAGAGACCUCUCUUCUACUCAGCGCACACUGAUGGUACUAUAUCUGAUGCUAAAUAUAGCUAGAAAACAACCCUUUCAUGUAGUUUUAUCUUUAUCUGUCUUGUUUCAGAAAACUUGCAGUUCUUCCUGCCCCCUGGAUUUGCUAUCUUCAUUUUCUGUUUUAAUUUUAUUCUCACCUUUUUAAAACUGGAUGAUUCACAUAUUAUUAGUAGGUGAAGCUUUUCAUAUUAUCUCCAUACCAGGAAAUGCUUUAUCUGUUUGAUUUCUUCAUAACCCGAGAUAACUGGUUAGCCACUGUUAGAAACAAGAUACUGAGUGUGACACAGUGGUCAUUGACGAUGUUGGGUGUAUCAGGCUGCUGUUAAAGGUGCAGGAGCAGAACUAGAACAGAAGUGGCAGCCAUCAUCUUUUAAAUAAGUUCAACCUUUAGGCUGAUAAAUAAAAGCAUGUCAGCAGCCAGGU